AAUCAACGCUGGCGGCGUGCCUCAGACAUGCAAGUCGAACGAUUAAAGCUCUCUUCGGAGAGUGCAUAGAGUGGCGCACGGGUGAGUAACACGUAAGUAAUCUACCUUCGAGUGGGGAAUAACGUCCGGAAACGGACGCUAAUACCGCAUAAUGCAGCGGCAUCGCAAGAUGACAGUUGUUAAAGAUUUAUCGCUUGAAGAGGAGCUUGCGGCAGAUUAGCUAGUUGGUAAGGUAAUGGCUUACCAAGGCUACGAUCUGUAACCGGUCUUAGAGGACGGUCGGUCACACUGACACUGAAUAACGGGUCAGACUCCUACGGGAGGCAGCAGUCGGGAAUUUUGGGCAAUGGGCGAAAGCCUGACCCAGCAACGCCGCGUGAAGGAUGAAGUAUUUCGGUAUGUAAACUUCGAAAGAAUGGGAAGAAUAAAUGACGGUACCAUUUAUAAGGUCCGGCUAACUACGUGCCAGCCGCCGCAGUAACAC
rnacentral:rRNA from 1 species